GUUGACAUAGAGCCACCAUUCAAACUUUAAAACGAAGACAAGACAUUCAACUAUUCAAUUUGUAUUUAUCUUUUCAAUAUCUAUUAUACUUUUUCUUCAGUUCCAGUUUAAGUUUCAUGAUGUUUUUUCACCCGUUUCAGAGUUUAUAAUGGGUGUGUAUGGGACGGAAUGUUGGGGCUAGAGUGAGACAGCUCAACUGCUAGAGUGAGAGGAGCAAAAAAAUUAAUCUUAAAAUAUUUUUUAAAACUGCUGCUGUGUCCGCAGCGUUUGCUCUACAGGUCUGAUUUUACCCUCAAAACGUAGCCAUCGCUGUCCUCUUUCAUCCAAUGUGUUUACUAUUG
ensembl:lncRNA